rnacentral:rRNA from 1 species
UACGGAGGGGGCUAGCGUUGUUCGGAAUUACUGGGCGUAAAGCGCGCGUAGGCGGACCUGCAAGUCGGGGGUGAAAGCCCGAGGCUCAACCUCGGAACUGCCUUCGAUACUGCGGGUCUCGAGUCCGGGAGAGGUGAGUGGAAUUCCUAGUGUAGAGGUGAAAUUCGUAGAUAUUAGGAAGAACACCAGUGGCGAAGGCGGCUCAGCUGGACCGGUUCUGACGCUGAGGCGCGAAAGCGUGGGAGCAACGGG